rnacentral:rRNA from 1 species
CAUUGGAAACUGGUAACCUAGAGUAUGGGAGGGGGAGAUGGAAUUAGUGGUGUAGGGGUAAAAUCCGUAGAUAUCACUAGGAAUACCGAAAGCGAAGGCGAUCUCCUGGAACAAUACUGACGCUAAGGCGUGAAAGCGUGGGGAGCAAACGGGAUUAGAUACCCCGGUAGUCCACGCCCUAAACGAUGUUCACUAGUCGUCGGAAUGCUAGUCAUUUCGGUGAUGCACUUAACAGAUUAAGUGAACCGCCUGGGGAGUACAGUCGCAAGAUUAAAACUCAAAGGAAUAGACGGGGACCCGCACAAGUGGUGGAGCAUGUGGUUUAAUUCGAAGAUACGCGAAGAACCUUACCUAGCCUUGACAUUGAUAGAAUCUGGUAGAGAUACCGGAGUGCCUUUCGAGGAACUUGAAAACAGGUGCUGCACGGCUGUCGUCAGCUCGUGUCGUGAGAUGUUGGGUUAAGUCCCGCAACGAGCGCAACCCUCGUCGUUAGUUGCUAACAGUUCGGCUGAGCACUCUAGCGAGACUGCCUUCGCAAGGAGGAGGAAGGUGAGGACGACGUCAAGUCAUCAUGGCCCUUAUGGCUAGGGCUACACACGUGCUACAAUGGGGCGUACAGAGAGUUGCGAUACCGCGAGGUGGAGCUAAUCUCAUAAAGCGUCUCUCAGUUCGGAUUGAUCUCUGCAACUCGAGAUCAUGAAGCUGGAAUCACUAGUAAUCGUAGAUCAGCAAUGCUACGGUGAAUACGUUCCCGGGUCUUGUACUCACCGCCCGUCACACCAUGGGAGUUGAUUUCACCCGAAAUCGGGAAGCGAACCUUCGGGACGCUACCGCUU